GACGAACGCUGGCGGCGUGCUUAGCACAUGCAAGUCGAACGGAAAGGCCCUGCUUUUGUGGGGUGCUCGAGUGGCGAACGGGUGAGUAACACGUGAGUAACCUGCCCUUGACUUUGGGAUAACUUCAGGAAACUGGGGCUAAUACCGGAUAGGAGCUCCUGCUGCAUGGUGGGGGUUGGAGAGUUUCGGCGGUUGGGGAUGGACUCGCGGCUUAUCAGCUUGUUGGUGGGGUAGUGGCUUACCAAGGCUUUGACGGGUAGCCGGCCUGAGAGGGUGACCGGCCACAUUGGGACUGAGAUACGGCCCAGACUCCUACGGGAGGCAGCAGUGGGGAAUAUUGCACAAUGGGCGGAAGCCUGAUGCAGCAACGCCGCGUGCGGGAUGACGGCCUUCGGGUUGUAAACCGCUUUCGCCUGUGACGAAGCGUGAGUGACGGUAAUGGGUAAAGAAGCACCGGCUAACUACGUGCCAGCAGCCGCGGUGAUACGUAGGGUGCGAGCGUUGUCCGGAUUUAUUGGGCGUAAAGGGCUCGUAGGUGGUUGAUCGCGUCGGAAGUGUAAUCUUGGGGCUUAACCCUGAGCGUGCUUUCGAUACGGGUUGACUUGAGGAAGGUAGGGGAGAAUGGAGUUCCUGGUGGAGCGGUGGAAUGCGCAGAUAUCAGGAGGAACACCAGUGGCGAAGGCGGUUCUCUGGGCCUUUCCUGACGCUGAGGAGCGAAAGCGUGGGGAGCGAACAGGCUUAGAUACCCUGGUAGUCCACGCUGUAAACGGUGGGUACUAGGUGUGGGGUCCAUUCCACGGGUUCCGUGCCGUAGCUAACGCUUUAAGUACCCCGCCUGGGGAGUACGGCCGCAAGGCUAAAACUCAAAGGAAUUGACGGGGCCCCGCACAAGCGGCGGAGCAUGCGGAUUAAUUCGAUGCAACGCGUAGAACCUUACCUGGGUUUGACAUGGAUCGGGAGUGCUCAGAGAUGGGCGUGCCUCUUUUGGGGUCGGUUCACAGGUGGUGCAUGGCUGUCGUCAGCUCGUGUCGUGAGAUGUUGGGUUAAGUCCCGCAACGAGCGCAACCCUUGUUCACUGUUGCCAGCACGUUAUGGUGGGGACUCAGUGGAGACCGCCGGGGUCAACUCGGAGGAAGGUGGGGAUGACGUCAAGUCAUCAUGCCCCUUAUGUCCAGGGCUUCACGCAUGCUACAAUGGCUGGUACAGAGAGUGGCGAGCCUGUGAGGGUGAGCGAAUCUCGGAAAGCCGGUCUCAGUUCGGAUUGGGGUCUGCAACUCGACCUCAUGAAGUCGGAGUCGCUAGUAAUCGCAGAUCAGCAACGCUGCGGUGAAUACGUUCCCGGGGC
rnacentral:rRNA from 1 species